UGGGGAAUAUUGGACAAUGGGCGCAAGCCUGAUCCAGCCAUGCCGCGUGAGUGAUGAAGGCCUUAGGGUUGUAAAGCUCUUUCGCCGGUGAAGAUAAUGACGGUAACCGGAGAAGAAGCCCCGGCUAACUUCGUGCCAGCAGCCGCGGUAAUACGAAGGGGGCUAGCGUUGCUCGGAAUCACUGGGCGUAAAGCGCACGUAGGCGGAUCGUUAAGUCAGGGGUGAAAUCCUGGAGCUCAACUCCAGAACUGCCCUUGAUACUGGCGAUCUCGAGUUCGAGAGAGGUUGGUGGAACUCCGAGUGUAGAGGUGAAAUUCGUAGAUAUUCGGAAGAACACCAGUGGCGAAGGCGGCCAACUGGCUCGAUACUGACGCUGAGGUGCGAAAGCGUGGGGAGCAAAACAGGAUUAGAUACCCUGGUAGUCCACGCCGUAAAACGAUGGAUGCUAGCCGUUGGGGGGUUUACCUCUCAGUGGCGCAGCUAACGCCUUAAGCAUCCCGCCUGGGGAGUACGGUCGCAAGAUUAAAACUUAAAGGAAUUGACGGGGUCAUAGCUG
rnacentral:rRNA from 1 species